rnacentral:rRNA from 1 species
CCGCCGGCGACCGGCGCACGGGUGAGUAACACGUAUGCAACCUGGCCGUGACAGAUGGAUAACCGGGAGAAAUCCCGCCUAAUACAACAUAAUGCCGGGAGGGGGCAUCCCCUGCCGGCCAAAGGGGGCGACCCCGGUCACGGAUGGGCAUGCGGCGCAUUAGGUAGUUGGUGGGGCAACGGCCCACCAAGCCGACGAUGCGUAGGGGUUCUGAGAGGAAGGUCCCCCACAUUGGAACUGAGACACGGUCCAAACUCCUACGGAAGGCAGCAG